rnacentral:lncRNA from 1 species
GUUGUAUCUGUAACACUGGUUACACCACUGAAAUGAGUUUGCACUAAUGAAUAUACCCCUGCCACAUGAUCAGGUACAACACUGGUUACACCACGAAUGAGUUUGCACUAAUGAAUAUACCCAUGCCACAUGAUUCAGGUUGUAUCUGUAACACAUGGUCACCACUGAAAUGAGUUUGCACAUGGACUAUUACCCCAUGCCACAAAUUCGGUUGUAUCUAGGUAACAACUGGUUCACCACUGAAAUGCGUUCGCCACUAACUGGGAAUAACCCCAUGCCACAUGAUUCAGGUUGUAUCUGUAACACUGGUUACACCACUGAAAUGAGUUUGGGGAAAGGCUUUUUAUAAGUCUCCAUUAUUUUGUAUUUUUGUUUUCUGCUCUCAAGGUGUGAAUAGUUUUGAUUGAAAGCCAACCAGAAUGUGCACAAAUCAGCUUUCAAGACUACACACAAUGUUAACUAAAUAGAUCUAAGGAUUUGGAAUGUAUUGCAGAGAGGAAAAGGUGGUAAUGUUGUUUUCUAUGGGACCAGACAGGAAGAGAUGGUAAUGUUGUUUUCUAUGGGACCAGACAGGAAGAGAUGGUGUUUAUGGGACCAGACAGGAAGAGAUGGUUAAUGUUGUUUUCUAUGGGAACCAGUACAGGGGAAGAGAGUGGGGUUGGGUAAUGUUGUUUUCUAUGGGACCAGACAGGAAGGUGGUAAUGUUGUUUUCUAUUGGACCAGACAGGAAUGGAGAGGUGGUAAUGUUGUUUUCUAUGGCACACAGAAGAGGGAGGUGGUAAUGUUGUUUUCUAGGGACCAGACAGAGAGAGAGUGGAGGUGUUAAUGUUGUUUUCUAUGGGACCAGACAGGAAGAGAUGGAGGUGGUUAAUGUUGUUUUCUAUGGGACCAGACAGGAAGAGGGAGGUGGGGUGGUAUGUUGUUUUCUAUGGGACCCGACAGAAGGAGAGAUGAGGGUGGUAAUUUGUUUUCUAUGGGACCAGACAGGAAGAGAGUUGGUAAUGUUGUUUUCUAUGGGACCAGACAGGACAGAGAGGUUGGUACGGAAGAGGGGGUGGUAAUGUUGUUUUCUAUGGGACCAGACAGGAAGAGAUUGGUAAUGUUGUUUUCUAUGGGACCAGACGGAAGAGAUGGAGGUGGUAAUGUUGUUUUCUAUGGGACCAGACAGGAAGAGAUGGUAAUGUUGUUUUCUAUGGGCCAGACAGGAGAGAGAGGUGGUAAUGUUGUUUCUAUGGGCCAGACAGGAGGAUGGAGGUGGUAAUGUUGUUUUCUAUGGGACCGACAGGAGAUGGGGGUGGUAAUGUUUUUCUAGGGACCAGACAGGAAGAGAUGGAGUGGUAAUGUUGUUUUCUAUGGGACCAGACAGGAAGAGAUG